rnacentral:rRNA from 1 species
GGGGGGAGCAAGCGUUGUUCGGAUUUACUGGGCGUAAAGGGCGCGUAGGCGGCCAGUGCAAGUCAGUUGUGAAAUCUCCGAGCUUAACUCGGAAAGGUCAACUGAUACUGCUCGGCUAGAGUGCGGAAGGGGCAACUGGAAUUCUUGGUGUAGCGGUGAAAUGCGUAGAUAUCAAGAGGAACACCUGCGGCGAAGGCGGGUUGCUGGGCCGACACUGACGCUGAGGCGCGAAAGCUAGGGGAGCGAACGGGAUUAGAUACCCCGGUAGUCCUAGCCUUAAACGAUGAAUGCUUGGUGUCUGGGGUUAUAUAGUCCCCGGGUGCCGUCGCUAACGCUUUAAGCAUUCCGCCUGGGGAGUACGGUCGCAAGACUG